rnacentral:pre_miRNA from 2 species
AGAGGUGUUUCAUGGGCGCUACACUGUUCUGAAAGUGGCGCCGUGUAAACAUCUAGCU